rnacentral:rRNA from 1 species
AUUGAACGCUGGCGGCAGGCCUAACACAUGCAAGUCGAGCGGAUGAAGGGAGCUUGCUCCUGGAUUCAGCGGCGGACGGGUGAGUAAUGCCUAGGAAUCUGCCUGGUAGUGGGGGAUAACGUCCGGAAACGGGCGCUAAUACCGCAUACGUCCUGAGGGAGAAAGUGGGGGAUCUUCGGACCUCACGCUAUCAGAUGAGCCUAGGUCGGAUUAGCUAGUUGGUGGGGUAAAGGCCUACCAAGGCGACGAUCCGUAACUGGUCUGAGAGGAUGAUCAGUCACACUGGAACUGAGAGACGGUCCAGACUCCUACGGGAGGCAGCAGUGGGGAAUAUUGGAAAAUGGGCGAAAGCCUGAUCCAGCCAUGCCGCGUGUGUGAAGAAGGUCUUCGGAUUGUAAGGCACUUUAAGUUGGGAGGAAGGGCAGUAAGUUAAUACCUUGCUGUUUUGACGUUACCAACAGAAUAAGCACCGGCUAACUUCGUG